GAAGAAAUACUGGAGAGAGGUGAUUAGACAUGACAUGGAGCAGCUUCAGUUUACAAAGGACAUAACCCUAGAUAAGAAGGUGUGGAGGGCGCGGAUAAGGGUAGAAGGCUACUGUAAGUGUGGGGGUUGUAGCGAGCAGUCAGGAGAGAUCUUGUGUAGCCGGGUUAGUAAUCCUAGGGUUGUGUAAAUAGGUGUAUUUGGUAUGUGAGUGUAUGUUACUACUAGGUGGGUGCCCUAUUUCUUAUUUCUUAGUUCCUAUUUUCUUAUUUCGUGUUGCCCUUAUUUCUCGUAUUUCGUAUUUCUUUGAUUUCUAUUUUAUUAUUUCUUAUUCCUUAUUUCUGUUAUGUCAUCCAUCCCCU
rnacentral:lncRNA from 1 species